rnacentral:lncRNA from 1 species
CCUACUUUGCUAAUUUCUAACUUUUACACCUCAGAUCCAAUUGCAACCAAUUUUUAAUAUGUUAUACAUGAUAUGGCAAACUAUUUUUAAAAAAUGUUAGCCAUCCAAAAAAGACCUCACAAACCCAUUUUUCAUAGCCUUAAAACUGGCCUGCCAGUCAGUUUUCAAACCAAGUCUAAUUUUCACUUUUGUUUCAAAACAGUUUUCUAAUUCCAUUAAACUUACAAAAAUCAUUUAAUUUACUUAAUACAACAUAUAUGAGGAGUCCUUGUUCAUUACCUCACCUAAAUUACACUUUUUAAGCUUAAAAUGUCUAAGAAGCAAUUUAUCAAACAUGUUGUGUGCAUUAAAUUUUAGGACAGAUUUGACAAGCUUUUAUUUAUGUUUCAAGCCAUAAUCUCCUUCCUUAUUACUCCGCACAACAACAACAACUAAGCUCCUUACUUCUAAUUCAUAAGCAUCACAGCCACAACUCAUACUAUUUCGCAUAAAAAUUAACUAAUUUAUGAACUUUUGUAAAGCUUGCACUUACCUCUUGUUUUACUGAAAUUUUAAUCUCAAUGACAAUGUUUUAAUCGAAUCCUUAUGCCAAGUACAACUUUUAAU